AUGUCUAAAGCUUCCUUCAAGACUCAACACCCUUUUGAAAGAAGGCAGGCUGGAUCUACUCGCAUUAGAGACAAGUAUCCUGAUAGAGUACCUAUGAUUACGGAGAAAUCCGGAAGAAGUGACAUUGCAAACAUUGAUAAAAAGAGGUACCUUGUUCCAACUGACUUGUCUAUUGAUUAUAAGGAUGAGGAUGGUUUUCUUUACAUGACUUACGGUGGAGAGAAUACCUUUGGAUUCCAUUAG